CUCUCUCUCUCUCUCUCUCCAUUCGGCGUCCCUCUCCCUCUCCCUCCCCAUCUCCGCUACUCCUCUCCCCUCCCUCUCUCACUGCCGCUCUUCUUCGCCUUCGACGGAAACCGAAGCACCUCCUCCUCACGCCACCGCCUCCUCCUCCUCCGCCAAUCUUCACAGAUCCACCGCCGCGAGAUCCAGAGGCUUCAUCGCUGAGAUGAACUCUGCUCCAUUGAUGCUCCGUCUCGCGUUCUAUAGCUCUGUAGAAUUAGUAUAUAUCAACUUUAGAACUCUGUGGUAGAUCGCACAAAUCUCAAAAUUUUAAGGAGCUUUGCACGCUGUUCAUCCAACAGGAAUUUCUGGAAGCACUGAUACUGGGAAGAAAAAGGUCCUGCUUUUGAAGGGGAAAGAGAAAAAAAUUCCUUAUGUAAGCCUUUCCUUAUAUCCGCUGCCAUCAUUCUACUGUGUUAGAUUUUGUCAUGAAUAAUGCAGUGAGAAAUAAAAUACACAUGCACCUAACAUGGUGUAAGAAUUUCAAGAAAAAGAAUUUGAAUGCCUUCUAAUUGUGCUUUGGCAAUUUUAUAAAGUGAGAUAAUAUAUGUCAAGAUUAAAAAAGAGAAACAAGCAUGUGGGUCUUUGAUACACUUUAAAUCUGUGGUUUAGGACCUAUAUAAUUUACAUGAAAUGCAAUCGCAAGUUGAAAUCUUGGAUCCAUAAGUCAUGCAUGUUAUGCAUGGUAACCUUAUGGCCCUUAUUGAAGCUGAAAAUCAGCAAGUAGUAGUGGCUGGCAGGAAGGAGAGCUGUGGAUAUCUGUGAGGAACAUGUCCUCAACUAGUUGUGUUAUGAAUUGUGAGACUAUGCCAUAAUAUGUUUCAUUCUUUUGUUGCAUCCUUAUUUCACUUCUUUUAAUAAGCCAACAUGUUUUAGUAUGUUGAAUGCAAUGUAUGUCCUUCAUUUUAAUAUGACUGUAUGGUCACAUGCUCCUAUCAAAGGGUGGAUCAACUUUGAAAGCAUGGACCACUUUCUCCCCUCUUUUUUCAAUUGAUGUCUUAUCUACUUUCUCUUUCAUUUAUUUAUUUAUUUAUUUUUUAGGGAAAAUUACAUACACACACAAAAAAAAUAAAAACCCACAGUUUGACCAUUUUGGUGUUUUUGUUAGUUGUUUUUGUUAGUUGGUUUCUUGCCAAAUUAACAAUUAGAUAUUAAUUUGGUUUAAUCCUCUGUUAUGUAUGGAUAUACAUGGUCUGAACUUCGAAAUACGUCUUGGUAUAUAGUUGAGAUAAAUCAAACCAAACGAAACUAAGCCUUGUUUCCCAAUCAAAUGAAGUCGGUAACAUAAAUCCUUUUCUGCUACUCCGCUCUGUCAAGAGCUAUAUGCUCAGUUGAAUUAAACAAGUUCAUUUUUCCCCCUGCUACUCUGCUCUGUCAAUUUCUGCUGCAA